UAGGAAUGUUUUUGUUCGUGGGCCAGU
rnacentral:sRNA from 1 species